ensembl:antisense Bcas1os2 breast carcinoma amplified sequence 1, opposite strand 2
GCACAGGUGCACGCACGACGACGAUGACAAUGACGACGGCAGUGGAGGAGAGUUGAGUUAAUGAGCACCCAUCCUCCAUCCUUUAGCGCCCCCUAGAGCCAGUGGCUUCCUCAACAGGGCGGUACCUAGUCAAAUCUGCAUCUUUGAUUCCUUCAACCAGCGAUGACAUCCUGGGCACAGACGAACAUAACAUUCUUGGAGGCCUCUGUUAGUGAGAAAAUGAUGCUACAGCCGGAAGCUUUUUACAAGGAAUGGUGCUCUCUUGGCAUUUUUGUUUAGAUCUAUUCAGUCAACAUGGUGUCAGCAUCUCUGCUGCAUCGACAGCAGCACACAUGAAAGCAAACGGAGAAAACAAAGCUCUCAACUUCCAAUCGUGAAUAUUUGCUAAGAGGGGCCACGGGAAACGCCUAUGGCUGAGAGACCAGGAGGACCAGGUGACAGUUCGGUGCCCGCCGUGGCCAGUGAGCAGAUAUUCCAGAUAACAUCAGAGGAAGGGCAGAGACAGUUUGAUUACCCAGAAUGCUCUGUGAGAGAGCUGCAGAGGCCAGAAGGAAAACUGGACAGAGUGGCUGAGAGAGACGCUCGCUUGGGUGCAGACGAAGAGCAGGCAGUGUUUCGAAGCACCUGCGUACAGCAAGACCGGCAUCUCAUUCCACCCAGGAGUACAUUAGGAGUCCUCCAUUCAGUGACAAGUUGAAUCAUGGAGGAGGAGGAGGAAGAUAAUCUCUGAGAAUCAUCAACAUCCAUUUGGCCCACCUGAAAUAACUCCUGAGCCACCUCAGGACCCCAAGGACCCUGCAAACAUCGCACAGACAGACUCACCUUCUUCCAAAACAACUUUCCCAGCGGUAGUGAGAUAUUUUCCUUUCAAGAAGGAAAAAAGGGGGAGACUUGUUAGUGAUGGUGCUUAUUAGAUUCGAAUUAACUCUUAGUCUCUGCUUCCCUUGUAUCGCUGGACAAGGACUCACAAAGCCCAGAUUUAUCCAGACGUGAGUGAGUAUUGACAUUCAAGUUCUAGCAUCGGAUUCUUUCGAGCUGACUCCACUACAGCAAGCAUCUUCACUUCACGUCUUUUGCUCUCUGGACUUCGAGACAGGAUCCCUUUAAAUUCCCAGACAGUUUCUGACUAAAAGAAAAAUAUCUGACAAUAAAAAUGGUAUUCAGACAAAUUCAG